rnacentral:rRNA from 1 species
GACGAACGCUGGCGGCGUGCUUAACACAUGCAAGUCGAACGGUAAGGCCCUUCGGGGUACACGAGUGGCGAACGGGUGAGUAACACGUGAGUAAUGUGCCCUUGACUCUGGGAUAACAGCCGGAAACGGUUGCUAAUACCGGAUAUACACCUGUGCCUGCAUGGGUGUGUGUGGAAAGCUUUUGCGGUCUUGGAUCAACUCGCGGCCUAGCAGCUUGUUGGUGGGGUAAUGGCCUACCAAGGCCUCGACGGGUAGCCGGCCUGAGAGGGCGACCGGCCACACGGGGACUGAGAUACGGCCCAGACUCCUACGGGAGGCAGCAGUGGGGAAUAUUGCACAAUGGGCGGAAGCCUGAUGCAGCAACGCCGCGUGCGGGAUGACGGCCUUCGGGUUGUAAACCGCUUUCAGUAGGGACGAAGCGCAAGUGACGGUACCUACAGAAGAAGCACCGGCCAACUACGUG